rnacentral:lncRNA from 1 species
CCCAACCAAUUUCCAAAAUAUCCUCCAAUAAUCCAUUCAAAAUUCGAAUUUCGAAUUUCGAAUUCCCAACCAACUCCAAAAUAUCCUCCAACAAUCCAUUCAAAAUUCGAUUUCGAAUUCGAAUUUCGAAUUCCCAACCAACUACAAAAUAUCCUCCAACAAUCCAUUCAAAAUUCGAUUUCGAAUUUCGAACCUCCAACCAAUUCCCAAAAUAUCUUCCAACCAUCCCAUAACCUAUUCAAAAUUCAAUUUCGAAUUUCGAAUCCCUAACCAACUCCCAAAAUAUCUUCCAACUAUCCAACAACUCAUUCAAAUUCAAUUUCGAAUUUUGAAUUCCCAACCACUCCCCAAAUAUCCUCCAACCAUCCAAUAAAUAAUUCAAAAUUCGAAUUUCGAAUUUUGAAUUCCUAACUAACUCCUCCCCUCCCAUUAUAAAUACGGGAACCGAAAUCAAACUCCGGGAGAAUUUUUUUUUUACGGAGACGAUACGACAGACAAAGAACAAAAAAAGAUAGAUAGAUUGCUACACUCGUUCCGACAUACAAAAAAAAAAGAAAAAGGAGAUAUCGCCGAGCCGCGGAAAGGAGGAGGAUCGCCGAGCCGCGGAAAGGAGGAGAAAUCGCCGAGCCGCAGAAAGGAGGAGAAAUCGCCGAGCCGCGAAAGGAGGAGAGAUCGUCGAGCCGCGGAAAGGUGGAGGAAUCGUCGAGCUGAUGCAUCCAAUCCGUCAUUUGAUCAACAGGUAAAAAAAAAAGAAAAAAAAAAGAAGAAAAAUGAAGAAGAAAGAAAAAAAGAAAACAAAAAAAGAAAAAAAAAAGGAAAGAAAAAGAAAAUAACAAGAUCUCUCUU